AGGGUGUUAUUUUUAGUUAUUUAGUUUUUCAUAACGUCAUCUAUUUUGCUUACAAUUUUCUUAAUAUCAAUGUCCAAAUUUGUUACUGUAUUGCUAUUUAUAACUUGUGACCGAGAAGUGAAUUUUAUCGGGUUACUUUUUUCUCUGGAUUGUCUAAGAAGUUUGGUGCAAUUCUCACAGUCGAAUGAGAUCCCUUUGGUCUUCAUGUAUUUUAUACUUUCUGUAUUCAUAUUUGCACAUUCCAUAUGAAGU